AGGGGUAUAGCUCAGCUGGUAGAGCGUCGGUCUCCAAAACCGAAGGCCGUCGGUUCAAGCCCGACUGCCCCUGCCA
rnacentral:tRNA from 1 species